GAGACUAAGUGGUCUGAAAAGGGACCACUGGGUGGCAGAAUGGUUCGCUGGCCGGAAAAAUAACCAGGCAAACCCAGAAGCAAGACGGAGCGUCCCGGUGGUCUGUCCUCUGAAUAAUGAAGGUAGACCUGGACCUGCAGGAACAUCAUCUGCUGCUAGACUUUAACUUUAUUCACCAGAACAAACUGAAAGCAGCUGAGAUUCUGGGAGGUUCAACACCAAAACCUGAAGUUUCAAAUUGAGCCGUCAACAGGACCAAGACACCUUUCAAACAACUACAGUAGUUAACCUGCUCUGUUGGUAGAUGUUAUGGUGUCUCCUUAAUCAGUGCAGACUGGCCUUUGCCAUAGCGGAAGGUAACCUUUUGACCCACAUGUAAAACAACAGAAAGCCGAUAAUCAG